rnacentral:rRNA from 1 species
GACGAACGCUGGCGGCGUGCUUAACACGUGCAAGUCGAACGGAAAGGCCCUGCUUUUGUGGGGUGCUCGAGUGGCGAACGUGUGAGUAACACGUGCGUAACCUGCCCUUGACUUUGGGAUAACUUCAGGAAACUGGGGCUAAUACCGGAUAGGAGCUCCUGCUGCAUGGUGGGGGUUGGAAAGUUUCGGCGGUUGGGGAUGGACUCGCGGCUUAUCAGCUUGUUGGUGGGGUCGUGGCUUACCAAGGCUUUGACGGGUAGCCGGCCUGAGAGGGUGACCGGCCACAUUGGGACUGAGAUACGGCCCAGACUCCUACGGGAGGCAGCAGUGGGGAAUAUUGCACAAUGGGCGGAAGCCUGAUGCAGCAACGCCGCGUGCGGGAUGACGGCCUUCGGGUUGUAAACCGCUUUCGCCUGUGACGAAGCGUGAGUGACGGUAAUGGGUAAAGAAGCACCGGCUAACUACGUG